rnacentral:rRNA from 1 species
ACGGGGUGCAGCAGGCGCGAAACCUCCACAAUGCGCGAAAGCGUGAUGGGGUUAUCCCGAGUGCCGUCCGAUGAGGAUGGCUUUUUAUCGAUGUAAGGAUUCGAUAGAAUAAAGGGGGGGCAAGACUGGUGUCAGCCGCCGCGGUAAUACCAGCCCCCUGAGUGGUAAGGACGAUUAUUUGGCCUAAAGCGUUCGUAGCCGGCUUAUCAAGUCUUUUGUUAAAUCCAACGAUUCAAUCGUUGGGCCGCAAAAGAUACUGUUAUGCUAGAGGACGGGAGAGGUCGACGGUAGUCCAGGGGUAGGGGUGAAAUCCUAUAAUCCUUGGAGGACCACCAGUGGCGAAGGCGGUCGACUAGAACGUGCCUGACGGUGAGGGACGAAAGCUGGGGGAGCGAACCGGAUUAGAUACCCGGGUAGUCCCAGCUGUAAACGAUGCGGGCUAGGUGUUGGGGCAGCCACGAGCUGCUCCAGUGCCGCAGAGAAGUUGUUAAGCCCGCCGCCUGGGGAGUACGGCCGCAAGGCUGAAACUUAAAGGAAUUGGCGGGGGAGCACCACAAGGGGUGAAGGCUGCGGUUUAAUUGGAGUCAACGCCGGGAACCUUACCGGGGCUGACAGCAGAGUGAAGGCCAGACUGAAGAUCUUGCCAGACAAGCUGAGAGGAGGUGCAUGGCCGUCGCCAGUUCGUGCCGUGAGGUGUCCUGUUAAGUCAGGCAACGAACGAGACCCCCGCUUUUAGUUGCCAGCGGAUUCCA